rnacentral:rRNA from 1 species
GGGGAAUAUUGGACAAUGGGGGCAACCCUGAUCCAGCAAUGCCGCGUGUGUGAAGAAGGUCUUCGGAUUGUAAAGCACUUUCGACGGGGACGAUGAUGACGGUACCCGUAGAAGAAGCCCCGGCUAACUUCGUGCCAGCAGCCGCGGUAAUACGAAGGGGGCUAGCGUUGCUCGGAAUGACUGGGCGUAAAGGGCGUGUAGGCGGUUUACACAGUCAGAUGUGAAAUCCCCG